AGUAGAGUGGCGGACGGGUGAGUAACGCGUGGGAAUCUACCUAGUAGUGGAGGAUAACUCGGGGAAACUCGAGCUAAUACUGCAUACGCCCUACGGGGGAAAGCGGGGGAUCUUCGGACCUCGCGCUAUUGGAUGAGCCCGCGUUAGAUUAGCUUGUUGGUGAGGUAAUGGCUCACCAAGGCGACGAUCUAUAGCUGGUCUGAGAGGAUGAUCAGCCACAUUGGGACUGAGACACGGCCCAAACUCCUACGGGAGGCAGCAGUGGGGAAUAUUGCGCAAUGGGCGAAAGCCUGACGCAGCCAUGCCGCGUGUGUGAAGAAGGCCUUCGGGUUGUAAAGCACUUUCAAUAGGGAGGAAAGGUUGUAGCUUAAUACGUUGCAACUGUGACGUUACCUAUAGAAGAAGCACCGGCUAACUCCGUGCCAGCAGCCGCGGUAAUACGGAGGGUGCGAGCGUUAAUCGGAAUUACUGGGCGUAAAGCGCGCGUAGGCGGCUUCGUCAGUCAGAUGUGAAAGCCCCGGGCUCAACCUGGGAACUGCAUUUGAUACUGCGGAGCUAGAGUAUGGUAGAGGAUAGUGGAAUUCCAGGUGUAGCGGUGAAAUGCGUAGAUAUCUGGAGGAACAUCAGUGGCGAAGGCGACUGUCUGGACCA
rnacentral:rRNA from 1 species